CGCUACUGGUGGCAUAAGGACUGGACUUUGCAACAUCGGCGGAGCACAGCGGUUCAGUUGCAGCGAGCAGUUGGCGGUACAGGGUACAGUCGGCGACAAGUACAGUGAGCAACAAAGUGUUUAGCAGUGUGAGUGAAAAUAAAACUAAAUAGUGUUAUGAACUUUCGUCCAUGGCGGGCGGAAUGUUUAAUUCUAUAAUAAAUUGUCAUAUACUUUACUUUACUAAGUAUGUAAUUUCGCAACUCGACGAUAGAUGUCGCUGUACGCAAUUAAAUCGCGCUAACGUUUUGUUCAACGGUAUGCAUAUAUGGUUUCCAUACAAAAUUGUAUCGCCUUUAUAUUCAAAUAAAUGGUCAUCACCUUGAAACGGCGUAUUUAUAUUGUAAAUCCCGUAGUAGUGGUGUAAUGUUUUUGUACGUGUUGUACAG
rnacentral:misc_RNA from 1 species